rnacentral:rRNA from 1 species
CAAGUCGUACCGUAGUAUCCUGUAGCUUGCUAGAAGAUGACGAGCGGCGGACGGGUGAGUAAUGCUUGGGAACAUGCCUUAGGGUGGGGGACAACCGUUGGAAACGACGGCUAAUACCGCAUAACGUCUACGGACCAAAGGGGGCUUCGGCUCUCGCCUUUAGAUUGGCCCAAGUGGGAUUAGCUAGUUGGUGAGGUAAAGGCUCACCAAUGUGACGAUCCCUAUCUGGUUUGAGAGGAUGAUCAGCCACACUGGAACUGAGCCAUGAUCCAAAUCUAUACGGGAGGCAGCANUGGGGAAUAUUGCACAAUGGGCGCAAGCCUGAUGCAGCCAUGCCGCGUGUGUGAAGAAGGCCUUCGGGUUGUAAAGCACUUCCACCAAGGAGGAAAGGUUAGUACUUAAUAGCUGCUAGCUGUGACGUUACUUGCAGAACAAGCACCGGCUACCUCCGUGCCAGCAGCCGCUGUAAUAUCGAGGGUGCGAGCGUUAGUCGGAAUUACUGGGCGUAAAUCGUACGCAUGCGGUUUGUCAGCCGACAUGGGAACGCCCCGGGCUCUCCUUGGGAACGGCUGUCCCAACUGGCCCGCUAUAGUGUCACACACGGUUGUACCCGUGCCGUUGUGCUCGGGAC